CAAUAAUGCCAUACACCUGAACACGCCCGAUCUCGUCCGAUCUCGGAAGCUAAGCAGGGUCGGGCCUGGUUAGUACUUGGAUGGGAGACCGUGGGAAUACCAGGUGCUGU
rnacentral:rRNA from 1 species